rnacentral:rRNA from 1 species
GACGAACGCUGGCGGCGUGCUUAACACAUGCAAGUCGAACGGUGAAGCGCUUGCCUUUUUGGUGGGUGUGGAUGAGUGGCGAACGGGUGAGUAACACGUGAGUAACCUGCCCUCUUCUUCUGGAUAACCUCAUGAAAGUGGGGCUAAUACGGGGUAUUCCGGGUCUGUCGCAUGGCGGGUUUGGGAAAGAUUGCGCUUUUGGGUGUUUUCGGUGGGGGAUGGGCUCGCGGCCUAUCAGCUUGUUGGUGGGGUGAUGGCCUACCAAGGCGGUGACGGGUAGCCGGCCUGAGAGGGUGGACGGCCAGACUGGGACUGAGACACGGCCCAGACUCCUGCGGGAGGCAGCAGUGGGGAAUAUUGCGCAAUGGGCGCAAGCCUGAUGCAGCGACGCCGCGUGAGGGAUGGAGGCCUUCGGGUUGUGAACCUCUUUCGCCAGUGAAGCAGGCCUGCUCCUGUGUGGGUGGGUUGACGGUAGCUGGAUAAGAAGCGCCGGCUAACUACGUG